rnacentral:misc_RNA from 1 species
UAUAUAUAUAUAUAUAUAUAUUCAGUUUAUGAACAUCUAACAACAACAUCAAGUAGUUUUAUCUAUACAUUAGCACUUCUAACAUAAAUUUAAAAUAACUCCACACACAUUAGGGAAUGUUCAGAAACAGAAAUCGUAUAUUAAGAGAUGCCAAGGAUAAACAGAAGGACCUUAUUAAAUUUCACUAAAAAUCUUGAGACAAUACCUGCUAAAGCCAUUCGCUUUUAAAAGAAUCCAACUAAACAGUGCCAAAAAAAAUCAAAAGUGACAGUCCAGACUUUGAAGAUGUAUUUUGAAAUUUAUAGAACAUAAAUUACACCGUGCAUUUUAAAUUUUAUAGUAAAUAAUCUUCUAUCAGUUCAAUGAACAUCAAAUUUACACAAUGGCGGAUCUAAAAUAUUACUAAUAGAAGAAUAUAUUUGUGUAUUAAAAAUUAGGCAUACUUAUUUAUA